AACGUAGGUUCCGAGCGUUAUCCGGAUUUACUGGGCGUAAAGCGCGUUCAGGCGGUUUGGCAAGUCGGGCAUGAAAUCUCUCGGCUCAACCGGGAGAGGUUGUCCGAUACUGCUGGACGUUGAGGGCAGUAGAGGGUGGUGGAAUUCCGGGUGUAGUGGUGAAAUGCGUAGAUAUCCGGAGGAACACCAGUGGCGAAAGCGGCCACCUGGACUGCACCUGACGCUGACACGCGAAAGCUAGGGGAGCGAACGGG
rnacentral:rRNA from 1 species